GACUAUGUAUACAAAAAGAGAGGUGCAAGAACUGAAGCCUGCCAGAAAGUGAUGUCAUCUGCCAUGAAAGCCCUGACACUUAAUUCUCAAUUGUGUGGAGGACUGGCUAUGGCUACGGAGUGGUGAGGAAAAGUCACUCUGCCUAUGUUCUGAGGUGCUGUCCUUUAUUAGUAAGCAGAGGGUUGAACACUUUCUGUGCAGUGCAAUCUUACACAUGUCUAUUCAGAAGUUGCACAGACUUCAGUGCCAUUUACUUCCACGUAAGGGUGUGCAGGAUUGCCCUCUUAGCUAUCUUUUCUGAUGUCGGCUUUUGGGCGGUGAUGAGAAACAAGCUUUAACCUUUGUAGCUCCACAAUAAGGGAAGGGGGGGGGGGACUAGUUCUUUCCAGUCUUGCAAACCUGAAAAGUAGUGGAUCAUGAAGCCUAAACUGCAUAAUAAGAGAGUUGUGUUGUGCAGAAUGGGCAAUGCCCCAGCUGCCAGAGGUGUACACCAGCCACAAAAUCUGACUUGUAUCUGUAGCUUGGGGAAGCAGCCCAAUCUAUUUUGCAGCUGCUCUGUGUAUUUCUAAUUCGACUAGUUACUCAGGACCAAAUUAGACAUGUGAAAAAUGAAGCUGUGCUCUUCCUACCCCUCCACCCCACUCUGGCUGUCCAAUUUACUAUAAUGGGGAAUCUAUAAAUGACUGUAACUUAUUUCCUCUCACCAGAAAUGGAUGGACUUUUCAGGCAUAGGAGUCCCUCCAGAGUGGAUUGAGCCUGUCAAAUAGUAAGUUUUGUGCAGAGUACCAAGGUUUUUGUUUUUUUUAAUUUUUUAUAGGAAAUUAGCUUCUGCCAGAAUUGGAUGCAAUUUACAGACAUGGUUGCCUCUUCUGAGGAAGAGAAAGCUUGCUAAAUUUCAAAAUGAUUGCUUACAGUGGCUCUCCUGCAAAUACAAACUCACUGUUUUGGGGUGGGGAAAAGAAGAACAUGGAUAAGCAAGACUUGGGUAGGUGAAAGAACGUGUUAUCUCAAAGGUCGUUGGUGAAAGGUGUGAUUAUACUAAACACCACCACAAGGAUACAGUGGUACCUCGGUUUACAAACUUAAUUUGUUCCAGAGGUCCGUUCUUAACCUGAAACCAUUCUUAACCUGAGGUGCGCUUGCGCUAAUGUGGCCUCCCGUUGCCGCCGCGUGAUUUCUGUUCUCAUCCUGGGACAAAGUUCGCAACCCGAGGCAACUACUUCUGGGUUAGUGGAGUUUGUAACCCGAAGCAUUUGUAACCCGAGGUAUCACUGUACUGACGGCAGACCUGGAUGCAGACCGUUGGUCAAAACUUUUAUUGGUACAUCAUAUGUAUUUCUAGCCAAAAUAAGUUUAAAAACCAGCAACAGCCAGCACCUGAUCCCAAGGCCAUGGAAAAGCCACUAAAUAUACAGUACAAUAACAAUGAUUUCAAGUUGGUUCUGGGUCCAGGAUUCCCUAUAUUCCUGUGCUCUCUGGAUUUGGAUGCCCUCCGGAAAUACUGCAUUUUAAAAAUCACUGCUGUGCUUAUAUAUUAAAGCAAAGCCUAAAUGACAAAGGGACUGCUCUGUACUUGCGUGAAGAUGGUGGGGUAUUGUUUUGACCCUCUAGUCUAGAUUUUCUAACCACAGUGAAUUAGUUUUCCAAGGCACUCUGAUCACAUUGACUUAGGAGAUGGAUGCUAAAAUAACUACUAAAAACUAUGUUUACUGUUCUCAUGCCUUCCCCUAUGUAAGUCAGUAGAGAAAGAGAUUGACAGAGAAAGAGGGAAAGGUAGAGAAAUUUCAUGGAGAAUGAGCAGUGUUCUAACACCACUACUGACCUUUUUUAAAAGGCAUUUUUGGUUUGUAACAAGAAUGUGACUUUCAGCUUUGUAUAUUAUCUUCCAUGCUGUAUUUCUGAUUGCAAACCCUUAAAUCUUCACAGAUCUGUGUGGUCGCAUAACUUUAGUUUACCGAAGAUUUUCCUCCCCAGCUAUUUUAUUUAAUGCUCAGUUGACUUGUUCCUGGUGUUAAUCCAUUUCGUUAACUAUUACCUAAUGUUGGAUUGGUAAAAAUACAGCCCAUGUAGUUAAGCAGUAUAGUGUAGUGAACUUUACCUUGGAAAUCAUCUAUAAGCAAAUCCAGAACAGAAUGCAGGUCAGGUCAUUCUAUGAAAAUUAUUAUGGGAUGACUCAUGGAGGACAUAAAAUUAGGAAAGCAAUAUUAAAUAUUGAAAACAUAGUGAGAUAUUGGCAGCAAAGAAAUCUACAGCUGAGCUGAAGGUGUAUAGCUGCUGUUGAUGUUUAGCAUUAGUCACUAGAUAAAUAGUUUCAGGCAUUUCAUCUUAAAACCAAAAUGGAGUAUUUGCAACCUUAGUCUUUCUCUCUUUUUUAAUG
rnacentral:lncRNA from 1 species